GAGUCUCUUACCACCGCCAAACAAAACAGAGAUGUCAGAAAGGCGACUUGGGCUCAGAGUUCUUGUCCUGAAGAUGUUCAUUGAGAAUCCCCAUCUCUUUGGUGUGAUUCCUGAAGCUGUGAUGGGACAGUGUGGGAGUUUCUGAAAGAUGUUUACUCAAAGAGGGGAAGUCGAAGGAGACGCAGCUUUAAAGCGAUGCAUUCUGUAAAGAUGGUGCUGUUGAUUUGGGGUCAGCUGAAAGCCAGGCCUGCAGAUCCAGGGGUCUCAUCACACGAGAAGGACCAAAACUUAGGAGAAGCCUUGGCUGGGGGACUUUUCCAAAUGUCCAGCUGUUCAGGACCUGUAUGUACCAAAUCGGUAAAUGCAGGACAAACAGACAUUUCAACUUUGUGCAAAAUGUAAUUAAAAUGUUUUUAGAUUAAGGCUUCACACCGGGAGCAGCUUUGUUGGAUGAUUUCAUCCCUGGAGAUAAUUACUUGCCCUUGAUGUCUGUGUCCGCUGCCAUGGAGAAACUGGAGAUGUUCUUCACUAUAAUUGUUGUCCCCAUCUCUGUACACUUAACCCUGAUCUAUUAACUUAACCCAGUGUCUUUGAUA